rnacentral:tRNA from 1 species
GAGAAGUUAGUCUAAGAAGACAGCUAAUUUCGACUUAGCAAAUUAUGGUUUACCCCCAUAACUCUUCC